rnacentral:snRNA from 1 species
UACUUUGUGCAGUGGCAGUAUCGUAGCCAGUGAGGUUUAUCCGAGGUGGGAGUAUUGCUAACUGAACACUUCUCCCAAGACAGCCUUCUUAUCUGUGUGGCGAUCAUCUCAAAACAAAAUCUUGA